ACGGAGGGUGCAAGCGUUAAUCGGAAUUACUGGGCGUAAAGCGCACGUAGGUGGUUUGUUAAGCUAGCUGUGAAAUCCCCGGGCUCAACCUGGGCACUGCAGUUAGAACUGGCAAGCUAGAGUGGGGUAGAGGGGUGUGGAAUUCCAGGUGUAGCGGUGAAAUGCGUAGAUAUCUGGAGGAACAUCAGUGGCGAAGGCGACACCCUGGACUCAUACUGACACUGAGGUGCGAAAGCGUGGGGAGCAAACAGGA
rnacentral:rRNA from 1 species